rnacentral:rRNA from 2 species
AGAGUUUGAUCAUGGCUCAGAUUGAACGCUGGCGGCAGGCCUAACACAUGCAAGUCGAGCGGUAGCACAGAGAGCUUGCUCUCGGGUGACGAGCGGCGGACGGGUGAGUAAUGUCUGGGAAACUGCCUGAUGGAGGGGGAUAACUACUGGAAACGGUAGCUAAUACCGCAUAACGUCGCAAGACCAAAGUGGGGGACCUUCGGGCCUCAUGCCAUCAGAUGUGCCCAGAUGGGAUUAGCUGGUAGGUGGGGUAACGGCUCACCUAGGCGACGAUCCCUAGCUGGUCUGAGAGGAUGACCAGCCACACUGGAACUGAGACACGGUCCAGACUCCUACGGGAGGCAGCAGUGGGGAAUAUUGCACAAUGGGCGCAAGCCUGAUGCAGCCAUGCCGCGUGUGUGAAGAAGGCCUUCGGGUUGUAAAGCACUUUCAGCGGGGAGGAAGGCGAUAAGGUUAAUAACCUUGUCGAUUGACGUUACCCGCAGAAGAAGCACCGGCUAACUCCGUGCCAGCAGCCGCGGUAAUACGGAGGGUGCAAGCGUUAAUCGGAAUUACUGGGCGUAAAGCGCACGCAGGCGGUCUGUCAAGUCGGAUGUGAAAUCCCCGGGCUCAACCUGGGAACUGCAUUCGAAACUGGCAGGCUAGAGUCUUGUAGAGGGGGGUGGAAUUCCAGGUGUAGCGGUGAAAUGCGUAGAGAUCUGGAGGAAUACCGGUGGCGAAGGCGGCCCCCUGGACAAAGACUGACGCUCAGGUGCGAAAGCGUGGGGAGCAAACAGGAUUAGAUACCCUGGUAGUCCACGCUGUAAACGAUGUCGAUUUGGAGGUUGUGCCCUUGAGGCGUGGCUUCCGGAGCUAACGCGUUAAAUCGACCGCCUGGGGAGUACGGCCGCAAGGUUAAAACUCAAAUGAAUUGACGGGGGCCCGCACAAGCGGUGGAGCAUGUGGUUUAAUUCGAUGCAACGCGAAGAACCUUACCUGGUCUUGACAUCCACAGAACUUUCCAGAGAUGGAUUGGUGCCUUCGGGAACUGUGAGACAGGUGCUGCAUGGCUGUCGUCAGCUCGUGUUGUGAAAUGUUGGGUUAAGUCCCGCAACGAGCGCAACCCUUAUCCUUUGUUGCCAGCGGUUAGGCCGGGAACUCAAAGGAGACUGCCAGUGAUAAACUGGAGGAAGGUGGGGAUGACGUCAAGUCAUCAUGGCCCUUACGACCAGGGCUACACACGUGCUACAAUGGCAUAUACAAAGAGAAGCGACCUCGCGAGAGCAAGCGGACCUCAUAAAGUAUGUCGUAGUCCGGAUUGGAGUCUGCAACUCGACUCCAUGAAGUCGGAAUCGCUAGUAAUCGUAGAUCAGAAUGCUACGGUGAAUACGUUCCCGGGCCUUGUACACACCGCCCGUCACACCAUGGGAGUGGGUUGCAAAAGAAGUAGGUAGCUUAACCUUCGGGAGGGCGCUUACCACUUUGUGAUUCAUGACUGGGGUGAAGUCGUAACAAGGUAACCGUAGGGGAACCUGCGGUUGGAUCACCU